rnacentral:rRNA from 1 species
CCCAGUAAACGGCGGCCGUAACUAUAACGGUCCUAAGGUAGCGAAAUUCCUUGUCAGGUAAGUUCUGACCCGCACGAAAGGCGUAACGAUUUGGGCGCUGUCUCGGCAGCAGACUCGGUGAAAUCUUAGUACCUGUGAAAAUGCAGGUUACCCGCAACUAGACGGAAAGACCCCAUGGAGCUUUACUGUAGCCUGAUAUUGAGUUUUGAUCAAAGAUGUACAGGAUAGGUGGGAGGCGAAGAGACGUGUACGCCAGUAUACGAGGAGCCGCUGUUGGGAUACCACUCUUGUUUGAUUGAAAUUCUAACCUGCAUCCAUGAACUGGAUGAGGGACCGUGUCAGGUGGGCAGUUUGACUGGGGCGGUCGCCUCCUAAAGAGUAACGGAGGCGCCCAAAGGUACGCUCAGAUUGGAUGGAAAUCAAUCGACGAGUGCAAAUGCAGAAGCGUGCUUGACUGCGAGAGAAACAACUCGAGCAGGGACGAAAGUCGGGAUUAGUGAUCCGGCGGUGCCGAAUGGAAGGGCCGUCGCUCAACGGAUAAAAGCUACCCUGGGGAUAACAGGCUGAUCUCGCCCAAGAGUUCACAUCGACGGCGAGGUUUGGCACCUCGAUGUCGGCUCAUCGCAUCCUGGAGCUGAAUUCGGUUCCAAGGGUUGGGCUGUCCGCCCAUUAAAGCGGUACGCGAGCUGGGUUCAGAACGUCGUGAGACAGUUCGGUCCCUAUCUGUUGUGGGCGAAGGAAAUUUGAGGAGAGCUGUCCUUAGUACGAGAGGACCGGGAUGGACCUACCGCUGGUGCACCAGUUGUUCCGCCAGGAGCAUAGCUGGGUAGCUAAGUAGGGAAGGGAUAAGCGCUGAAAGCAUCUAAGCGCGAAGCCCCCUCCAAGAUGAGAUUUCCCAUUCUUCGGAAGUAAGACCCCUUGAAGACGACGAGGUAGAUAGGUCAGAGAUGGAAACGUAGUGAUACGUGGAGUUGACUGAUACUAAUAGGUCGAGGACUUAAUCAC